UUCUUCAGGGCAGGGUGGAAAUCCCGACCGGCGGUAAAGUCCGCGAGCGCAAGCCGAACCUGUGCAAUUCAGGUACCGACAGUAAAGUCUGGAUGAUAGAAGA
rnacentral:ncRNA from 1 species